rnacentral:rRNA from 1 species
GACGAACGCUGGCGGCGUGCUUAACACAUGCAAGUCGAACGGAAAGGCCCUGCUUUUGUGGGGUGCUCGAGUGGCGAAAGGGUGAGUAACAAGUGAGUAACCUGCCCUUGACUUUGGGAUAACUUCAGGAAACUGGGGCUAAUAACGGAUAGGAGCUCCUGCUGCAUGGUGGGGGUUGGAAAGGUUCGGCGGUUGGGGAUGGACUCGCGGCUUAUCAGCUUGUUGGUGGGGUAGUGGCUUACCAAGGCUUUGACGGGUAGCCGGCCUGAGAGGGUGACCGGCCACAUUGGGACUGAGAUACGGCCCAGACUCCUACGGGAGGCAGCAGUGGGGAAUAUUGCACAAUGGGCGGAAGCCUGAUGCAGCAACGCCGCGUGCGGGAUGACGGCCUUCGGGUUGUAAACCGCUUUCGCCUGUGACGAAGCGUGAGUGACGGUAAUGGGUAAAGAAGCACCGGCUAACUACGUG